AAAUAGCGAUGAAGCAAGAGGUAGCCGGACUUACGGGGAAUUCUUGCUGAGUAUGUCACGGUCUUGAACCGGGCGACGG
rfam:Clostridium roseum strain DSM 7320 CROST_contig000103, whole genome shotgun sequence.